UAAGAACCACCGCCCCCCCCCCCUCACUACCCCAUCUUCAAUUAAUAAAAUUUUCCCUUCAGAAUUUUAUAACCCUGGCUCUAGUCCCGCCGUCUCUUCAUGUUCCGUCAAAAUCUCCGGAAAUAGUUCCAAGUUCAGCGACCCUGCCCUGCACCCCCUAGCGGAGAGCGGAGACUCCACCACUAUACGCGCGUUUUCUCUUUCCAACUAACUCUCCACUUGCACUCCAACCAUGGCAGAAGCAACAGUAAGAAGGAUUGCUAUCCCCAGCCCUCCUACCCCAGUUCCUACUAGACCUAUAGCUAUAGUGACAUCACCCCCUACCACACCUCCCGUCUCACCACCACACUCCCCUUCACCCCAUCCAUCAUUACUAGACGAGUAGGAACAAUAUUUUCCAGCAAUGACCUCCACUGUUCACAGAAUCUGUGAGCUGUGAGUAUAUGCUGCGUAAGCUGAUCUCUAGUCGUAUCCCCUAAAGACGACAUUCAUCCGUUAGAAAAGACGAUAUAUGAAGAAAAUAUAUUUAUAAAAA